GGCGUUGGCAUCUUCCACUACGUCGGCGGCACGGCUACCGAACCGGCCAAAGUCCUCACCCCCAAGGACGCCGCCGUUAAGGAGACCUCUGGGCCGAAUCCUCUCCAUCCGAUCUGGGUGAGGGAGGACCAGCAGGUCCUUGGAUACCUGCUCCAAAACCUCUCCAAGGAGGUGCUCGUCACGGUGACCACGAUCACCACGGUGCGCGAACUCUGGGUGGCACUGGCGAGCAUGUUCUCAUCGCAGUCACUCAGCCGUGUCAACAACAUCCGCACAACGCUGAUCAACGCACAAAAGGGAAAUCAAUCGGUGGCCUCCUUAUUCGCCGCCAUGAGGGGUCUCACCGAUGAACUCGCCGCGGCCAGAAAACCCAUCUAG
rnacentral:rRNA from 1 species